rnacentral:rRNA from 1 species
UACGUAGGGGGCAAGCGUUGUCCGGAUUUAUUGGGCGUAAAGAGCGUGUAGGCGGCCGCACAGGUCCGUUGUGAAAACUGGAGGCUUAACCUUCAGACGUCGAUGGAAACCGUGCGGCUAGAGUCCGGAAGAGGAGAAUGGAAUCCCUGGUGUAGCGGUGAAAUGCGCAGAUAUCAGGAAGAACACCCGUGGCUAAGGCGGUUCUCUAGUACGGUACUGACGCUGAGACGCGAAAGCGUGGGGAGCGAACAGG